UUCUUCUUUCCCCCUUUUUUGCCACUCACAUCAGUGGACCCGUGUGCGUGCCUGUGGACGUGCGUUUCUUCGAGCGCCCCUUCCGCUUGACAUUCCCACGCCUGUCAGAGGCGUGCAGACUCAGGAGAAGGUGGAACGCCCCUGCUGCCAGAGACUCAUGGCGGCGUCCCACCUGUCGCGGCACAUGCGAGCAAGCCCUGCAGACCCCCUCCCCCUCCCCCCGUAUGUCCCCGCGAACGCACAGCUGCAUGUGGUGGUGACAGGCUCAAAAGUACCCCCACGGCGUGGGGGUGGAGGUGAGAGCGAUUCAGCGGUGCUGAUAUGCCGGCGUUGAUGCCGUGGAUGGCGCUGCGUCGCAGCGAGCUGCGGCCGUGGGCACGCUUGUGCCAUGCCUAGGAUAGAAGGCAAGCGUGCCCGCGUGGCUCGCACGUACCUCCUUGGGCCGCCUCACUGGCCGCUGGUGUGAUGGGAGCCUGAGCUACCCCCCAGACAGAGUGAGUGAGAGAGAGGGGUGCGCCAGGUGGCGACCAGCACAGCGGGAGCGACCCGUGAGGCGACCUGGGGGGUGGGUGGGCGGGCUUGGGGCUGAGGCAGAGACCGUGCUCGGGUGGCCGCGUCGGCGCAGGGUGCUGUGUGGGGCGCCCGUGUGUCUAGCGCUGCUCGGCACCACGCGAUGGGCCUGUGGCAGGGCGGCUGUAGCGUGGAGUGGAGCUCAUGUUACGUGCCGGAGCAUGGACGCGCUGGAACGACGAAAGCCUUUUUUGUUCUCCGUGCGCUCUUUGCUUUUGUUUCUCACGGCUCCUUCGCUUCCUAUGGCCGAGGCGCGAGUGUGCGCUGCCCACGUUGGCCCCUCUCUGCAGAGAAGGGAGGCUGUUUUGUUAUUCUUUCAUGGUGUAUGCUUGACGACUUUCAGUGAGGCUCAUCCGCGCGCCACGAAUGAAAGCGGCGAGGCGGAAGCAAAUACGAGUACAAGAGGCGUUGGCGGUAUCUCUGUCUUUCAGUGGCGUAGUCGCCUCAAAACGGCUUGGCGUAGGCAAGAGUGAGCGACGCCGAAGAGUAGCCUCAUUUUGCCAUGAAUGGCUUUUCAGCGACCGUGUCGUGGAAGGGCUGCUUCAUCCAAGGCGUGAGCAAGUGGGUUGCUUUCUAUCUGCCUCCACGCCCCUCCCUCCUCUAAUGCUGGCGCUGCGUGAGCGAUAG
rnacentral:misc_RNA from 1 species